UUUCCUGAAUCUGGAGCUGAAAUGGUAAAUAUUUAAUGAGGGAAACUUUUUCUUAAAUUUUUGUUCUUCUUUGUCCUUCCCUGUAAUAAAAAGCAAAAUUAAUUUCUGAGCACAUAGCUGUCCAGAUACCACACUCAUGGAUAAUCAUGUUCCCAUUGUAUAGACACACAAUCCCCAUCCUGCAAAAACCUGUGAGGAUGAAAAUAGCCCCAGUAAAGACAGUGAGAAAAUAAUCAAAGAGCUACUGUUCACUGUGGAAAAAAAUCACCCAGAUACACAAUCUUUCCUUUCAUGCAAUGCAAUGCCUAAUGAACUGAAAAAGCCUGUUAUCAUAUACUUUACUGUCUUGAUAUCACUGGAACAUCUACAAACAAAAUAUAUGUAUUAUGCAGAUUACAGUAGCUAUUUUUAAAAAUACAUCUUACAUAUAUAUGAAAUUACCAUUACUUGGGAGCAGAGGGCACAGUGCAGCAUUUGUCCUGUAGCCUGCCUAUCAAACAAGGAAAAAGGCAAAGGCAUAAGGCUGACAGUCCUUGUGCUUUCCUUGCAAAGUCUGAAUAGCUGAAUAUAAUUUGUUUCUAAUUCUCAUUGUUAAAAGACAUUUACUUAGAAGAAAAACCUAUUAGGAGGAAACAGAUGAUGCUUUGUGCAUAACCAAGUGAACAAAGGAAUCUUUUUACCAGGAUCCACCAUCUCAAGGAGACGCUGCAGCUCCUUUGGAAAAUUUCUCUCAGAACAGCACAAUAUCUUUGGCUCAAGGCUCUACAGCCACUGCUCAAGCUGAAGAGAAGACUGGUUUUUGUAUUCCCAGAUGGAAAAUUUUCAGUUGCGCUAAUUAAAUAGUGUGCAUGGCUCCAGGUUACAGCAAGUCACAUAUCACUCACAGUCUAUUGUUGAUUGUUUUUAUUGUUUAGCUGCCCGAAAAAUCUAUGUGUCCAAGACAGAUGCAACACCUUUUGGAAGAUUCUUUUGCAACACCAGCCAUACUUACAACUUCAAGUGAGCAAUACUGUGCCUCAUUAUUACAUCCUUGGGCAAAAUCAGAGAAAAAAGGUGAAAUUAUUUUAUGAAGUUGUACAGCAGAACAGGGAAAGAACCCAAUCCCUCCCAUCAGCCUCCCACUUGCCCUGUCUCCUGGACCAACUUGAGGACAAGCUGGGUGACCAGAGGUUUGCUGAAGUGCAUUGUUUGCAUUGUCUUGUCAGGAAUUUAAUUUCACAACAUGACAUGCUACCAACACAAGCGUGUCAUUGCAAUUUAACAUGCAUUUUCUUGGCAUGUUCUAUAUCUCAUUAAAGUCUCAUCUCCUUAGCCAAUACCAUAUGCUACUCAUCUGUAGCAAAGCUCUUAAAUGUAAUGAAAAAGGUAUAAUGGCAAUUGAGAAAUGAACUGUUGACCAGCACCCUACAGCUAUCCCAAUUCUACCACACCACUGAAAGCAACAAUAUUGCAAGAGCAAACCUCUAACAUCAUUGUCUUUCAGGUAAAAAGUAUUGGGCUUAGAGAUGCUCUUCAGUCAGUCCAGUGUUGUUACAGGAUUCUCAGACCACGAGACAGACCUCUGUCAAUGUGUAGGGCAAAGAUCAAUUUCUAACUUUGUUUUUUUCAACUGAGAAGAAAGCUAUACCAUACUGAACAUCUCUGUUUUCAAAAAUAAUAAUGCAAGUUAAAAUAUUCUGAAAGCAGUUUGAGACCAUUAAGUCACCUUUUAAACCUGUUGAUAGGUUUUCCUUCUCCUGGAUUUUAUUGCUUUUGAGUGACAGUAGGAAUUUUAGCUGUUUUUCUGACAAUGGGCAAAUACACAGAUAGUUUUUAAAAACAGUUACUUUAACAGGCUUAACAUAUUAGUCAUUGGAAGUUUAUUUAGUCAUUAUAAAUUAUAGUCAUUAUAAAACAAAAAUAAAAGAGCUAGUGGUGAUAGAGAUUAAUCAGGUUCUGUCCUCAGACUGUGAAGAUAAUUAUGAUAAAUCAAUGUGAAAAACAGCUGGAUUAGGUAACAAAACAAGUUUAGACACAAGAGCAGAAGGACAGGCUGCUCAGAAUGACUGCUGAGGAUGCAAAUGUCUGUCACUUUGCUGUUGGGAGCACUCACCUGCCCCAGGAACUGGUUUGAUCCUGUGCUUGCUACAGCCACCCAACCAGAAAGGCAAAUCUUUGUGGGUCACUGUCAGCAGGAGUUCCAAUUAAACAAAGGCAACUUCUACCCCUUCAGUAUUAACAACAGCUUCUUGAAGCCAUGUAUCUUGACUACAGUGCAUCACUAAUUAAAUCUAAAUUAAAUUUUACUGAGCAGAUUGCCAGGGCCUAUAAUUUUUCAACUGUGAUAAAUCCAGCUUCCUGAUGCUGACUACAUGUUCACUAAAGACAAAGAUCCACUGAAGAACAAACAAUUUUGGCCUUUCUUGGUAUGUUAGGUUACAUCACAAGAAUUGAGCUGGUAGCUUUCUUUGGAUGGGCAGUAUAAGGCACAUUUAUAUUUAGGCUGACAUUUUAAUUGUACAUACCAUAAAUUAUGUUUGGAGCUAAAUCAGAGUCCUCAAGAUUAAAAAAUAGCCACAUAUUCAAAAUUAAGCUUUUCUAUGUUUCUUUGGUGGCAGCUUCUUUUAAACACUUCAUUUUCCUACAUCUUCCUCUGUCAAAGCUCUAUAAAUGUGCUAAUGGUUGCUUUAUUAAUGGUUUUCUUGGUCACACUGAAAUUUUUUCUUUCUUUCUGUUAGUAUAAUCUAUCUUUUGCAUGCCUUCUGUCUGGAAAAAAUUGUACAGAAUUAGAUGGACCUUUAUAAAAGAGCACAACUUAAUGUUAAGUUUUAAUUAAGCAGUCUUUUUCAUUCAUUAUUUUUUCUCCUAGGAGGCUCUAAAUCAUAGUCUGUUUCUGGCUGAAUAUACAUAGAUUACUGCCUUAUUUUAUCUUUAUAUUUAUCUAUUCACUUUGAAUGAACUUGGAUGAAGCUUAAAAAGUUUCUGAGGAUCCCAUAAAUUAUUUCGCAUAUGCUCUUUUUUCUGUAAACACUGAAUGAAUAAAGUCAUUUUGCCAGACAAA